GUUGCCAAGAAAAGCAUCGACGCGAGGUUUUAGCCGCCCGUACCCCAAACCGACACAGGUGGUCAGGUAGAGAAUACUAAGGAGAUCGAGAGAAUCAUGGUGAAGGAACUCGGCAAAAUGCCCCCGUAACUUCGGGAGAAGGGGGGCCAUCCACUUAUACGGAUUUACUCCGGAAAGGGUGUGGUGGCCGCAGAGACCAGUGGGAAGCGACUGUUUACUAAAAACACAGGUCCGUGCGAACAAGCAAUUGGAUGUAUACGGACUGACGCCUCCCCGGUGCUGGAAGGUUAAGAGGAGAGGUCAACCCUUCGGGGUGAAGCUUUGAAUUUAAGCCCCAGUAAACGGCGGUGGUAACUAUAACCGUCCUAAGGUAGCGAAAUUCCUUGUCGGGUAAGUUCCGACCUGCACGAAUGGCGUAACGACUUCCCAGCUGUCUCCACCAUGAACUCGGCGAAAUUGCACUACGAGUAAAGAUGCUCGUUACGCGCAGAAGGACGGAAAGACCCCGUGACCUUUACUACAGCUUGGUAUUGGUGUUCGGUGUGGCUUGUGUAGGAUAGGUGGGAGACUGUGAAGCAGGGACGCUAGUUCUUGUGGAGUCAUUGUUGAAAUACCACUCUGGUCAUAUUGGAUAUCUAACUACGGACCCUGAUCGGGUUCUGGGACAGUGCCUGGUGGGUAGUUUAACUGGGGCGGUUGCCUCCUAAAGAGUAACGGAGGCGCCCAAAGGUUCCCUCAACCUGGUUGGCAAUCAGGUGGCGAGUGUAAGUGCACAAGGGAGCUUGACUGUGAGACUGACAGGUCGAGCAGGGACGAAAGUCGGGACUAGUGAUCCGGCAGUGGCUUGUGGAAGCGCUGUCGCUCAACGGAUAAAAGGUACCUCGGGGAUAACAGGCUGAUCUUGCCCAAGAGUCCAUAUCGACGGCAUGGUUUGGCACCUCGAUGUCGGCUCGUCGCAUCCUGGGGCUGGAGUAGGUCCCAAGGGUUGGGCUGUUCGCCCAUUAAAGCGGUACGCGAGCUGGGUUUAGAACGUCGUGAGACAGUUCGGUCCCUAUCCUCUGCGCGCGUUGGAAAUUUGAGAGGAUCUGACCCUAGUACGAGAGGACCGGGUUGGACGGACCUCUGGUGUGCCAGUUGUUCUGCCAAGGGCAUGGCUGGUUGGCUACGUUCGGGAUGGAUAACCGCUGAAAGCAUCUAAGCGGGAAGCCGGCCUCGAGAUGAGAUUUCCGUCACCCUUGUGGUGGUGAGGCUCCCAGGAGAUUACUGGGUUGAUAGGCCAGAUGUGGAAGC
rnacentral:rRNA from 1 species